rnacentral:rRNA from 1 species
GUGCAGCAGGCGCGAAACCUUUACACUGCACGAAAGUGCGAUAAGGCCAUACCGAGUGCCAUCCGCUGAGGGUGGCUUUUGCCUGGUCUAACCAGCCGGGUGAAUAUGGGGAGGGCAAGUCUGGUGUCAGCCGCCGCGGUAAUACCAGCUCCCCGAGUGGUUGGGACGAUUAUUGGGUCUGAAGCGUCCGUAGCCGGCCGGAAAAGUUCCCCGUUAAAUCUGGCGAUCCAAUCGUUGGGCUGCGGGGAAUACUCUUCGGCUUGGGGGCGAGGGAGGUCGGCGGUAGUCCCGGGGUAGGGGCGAAAUCCUAUAAUCCCGGGAGGACCACCAGGGGCGAAGGCGGACGACUAAAACGCGCCCGACGGUGAGGGACGAAAGCUGGGGGAGCGAACGGGAUUAGAUAUGAAGUUGAGUGUUUACCAGCUUCACUAGAUACCCCGGUAGUCC